GCGCGUUCCCCUAUUGUAUUCUCUUUCACGACGUCUCUGCUAUUUCACUCUCUCAUGUCUCCGUCCAGGUUCGCCAUCGUGGUCACUACACCACUGUUGAUCGCCAUUGUGUUUCUGCUACAAUCUGUUCAUGUUCGUAAAGAGAUAUAUCAGUUGCCACUGGAGUUGCAGAAGCAACCAUUAGAAACUCAUACAAGGAUCUAUAUCCCCAUGUUUCUAAAUCAUACCAAACUGGUAUGCAAAGGAAGAGGAUUUGAAGAACCUAUGCAGCCCUUACAACAAAACAAUAGUGACCACAUUUAGCAACUUAGAGCCAUUGGGACGUUCUGUCCUGAAUCUAACUGCACAUUCAUUUUGGUUCACUCCAAUUUGAGAAUUCUACGGGAGAGGCACCAUUCAUAUAAAUAAUUUGCUCAAUAACCUUCUAUGGAAAUUUUAAAGCAAGUUUGGCAGCUGCUCUACGGACUCAAGCAAUUGAAGGUGGUUUAAGUUGGUUUGAGCUAGAAUGUGUAUUGAUAGACAAGGAAGGAGAAGCCAAACCAAAAGGCAAAUAUGUUACAGUAUUUGAAUGCCCUGGGUUGAAGGGAUUCUUAAAGAAACUUAGUGAAUUUGCUGAAUUGGUGCUAUUUACUAUUGGUCUAGAAGGCUAUGCUAGACCGCUUGUUGACAGAAUAGACAUGGAAAAUUGAUUCAGUCUACGAUUUUAUCGGCCCUCAACAAUUAGCACCUAUAUGCAUUUGUUCUCUACAUAAACCUCCUCCUAUGGAAUUCAGAUAAUUAUUAGAUAAGUUUUUUAAAAGCAUUCACUUUCUAUUAUUGAUUAUCAAUAUAUUUGAUUUUAAACUAUAAACAUAAUAUCAUUUUAUCACUAGGGCCAUGGAAGGACAUCAUAUAUUAAAGGGUGUAAAGUUGAAGAAAAAAAUGAGUUGGGUCUCUCCAAAAGUAAGAUAUUUUAAUCCCAACAAUAAUAUUUUUUAGGGUGUUUUGUUUUGAAUUACCAUUACUAUUGAAAUUGAUUUUAUAUUAUUUUUGUAGUCUUAUAAAUAAAAAAGAAAUUAUGAGUGUGGAUAUUAUGUAAUGAAGACAAUGCAUACUAUUGUUAAUUCACAAAUAGUAUCUAGGUGGGCUGAAGUAAGUUUUACAAUUUUGAAAGUUUUUAUUUUAAGUUCUCAUUUUAUAUGCUUUAUGAAUUAUUACUAAUUGUUCUAAUUUUUCUUAACAUGUAUUUAUAGAUCGAUCACCAUUGCCAUUAGAAGACAUAAACACCAUUAGGGAGCAAUGGGCCACUUUUUUCAUUGACCAUUAUGUUGACUAGUUUGGACUUAUGUUGUAUAGUGUUGCAUUGACUAGUUCUGACUUAUGUUUCAUUGAGCAAUAGGACACAUUUAUGUAUGUAUUUAAAACUUUUUGAUUAUAUAUAUGGUUGACAUUUAUCA